AGCGAACGCUGGCGGCAGGCCUAAUACAUGCAAGUCGAACGGUCUCUUCGGAGGCAGUGGCGGACGGGUGAGUAACGCGUGGGAACGUGCCCUUUGGUACGGAACAACUGAGGGAAACUUCAGCUAAUACCGUAUGUGCCCUUCGGGGAAGGAUUAUCGCCAUUGGAGCGGCCCGCGUUGGAUUAGCUAGUUGGUGGGGUAAGUGGCCCACCAAGGCGACGAUCCAUAGCUGGUCUGAGAGGAUGAUCAGCCACACUGGGACGUGAGACACGGCCCACGACUCCUACGGGAGGCAGCAGUAGGGAAUCUUGCGCAAUGGGCGAAAG
rnacentral:rRNA from 1 species